UUGGAGGGCAAGUCUGGUGCCAGCAGCCGCGGUAAUUCCAGCUCCAAUAGCGUAUAUUAAAGUUGUUGCAGUUAAAAAGCUCGUAGUUGAAUUUCGGGAUCAAUUUAUUGGUCGUGCUAUUGUACGUACUGGUAUUAUUGAUUCCUACCUUCUGACGAACCUUAAUGCCAUUAAUUUGGUGUCAUGGGGAAUCAGGACUGUUACUUUGAAAAAAUUAGAGUGUUUAAAGCAGGCUCACGCUUGAAUACAUUAGCAUGGAAUAACGAAAUAGGACGUUUGAUUCUAUUUUGUUGGUUUCUAGGAUCGACGUAAUGAUUAAUAGGGAUAGUUGGGGGCAUUAGUAUUCAAUUGUCAGAGGUGAAAUUCUUGGAUUUAUUGAAGACUAACUACUGCGAAAGCAUUUGCCAAGGAUGUUUUCAUUAAUCAAGAACGAAAGUUAGGGGAUCGAAGACGAUCAGAUACCGUCGUAGUCUUAACCAUAAACUAUGCCGACUAGGGAUCGGAUGAUGUUAAUUUUUUAAUGACUCAUUCGGCGCCUUACGGGAAACCAAAGUGUUUGGGUUC
rnacentral:rRNA from 1 species